AUCCCGACUUACCAACCCGAUGCAAACUGCGAAUACCGGAGAAUGUUAUCACGGGAGACACACGGCGGGUGCUAACGUCCGUCGUGAAGAGGGAAACAACCCAGACCGCCAGCUAAGGUCCCAAAGUCAUGGUUAAGUGGGAAACGAUGUGGGAAGGCCCAGACAGCCAGGAUGUUGGCUUAGAAGCAGCCAUCAUUUAAAGAAAGCGUAAUAGCUCACUGGUCGAGUCGGCCUGCGCGGAAGAUGUAACGGGGCUAAACCAUGCACCGAAGCUGCGGCAGCGACGCUUAUGCGUUGUUGGGUAGGGGAGCGUUCUGUAAGCCUGUGAAGGUGUACUGUGAGGUAUGCUGGAGGUAUCAGAAGUGCGAAUGCUGACAUAAGUAACGAUAAAGCGGGUGAAAAGCCCGCUCGCCGGAAGACCAAGGGUUCCUGUCCAACGUUAAUCGGGGCAGGGUGAGUCGACCCCUAAGGCGAGGCCGAAAGGCGUAGUCGAUGGGAAACAGGUUAAUAUUCCUGUACUUGGUGUUACUGCGAAGGGGGGACGGAGAAGGCUAUGUUGGCCGGGCGACGGUUGUCCCGGUUUAAGCGUGUAGGCUGGUUUUCCAGGCAAAUCCGGAAAAUCAAGGCUGAGGCGUGAUGACGAGGCACUACGGUGCUGAAGCAACAAAUGCCCUGCUUCCAGGAAAAGCCUCUAAGCAUCAGGUAACAUCAAAUCGUACCCCAAACCGACACAGGUGGUCAGGUAGAGAAUACCAAGGCGCUUGAGAGAACUCGGGUGAAGGAACUAGGCAAAAUGGUGCCGUAACUUCGGGAGAAGGCACGCUGAUAUGUAGGUGAAGCGACUUGCUCGUGGAGCUGAAAUCAGUCGAAGAUACCAGCUGGCUGCAACUGUUUAUUAAAAACACAGCACUGUGCAAACACGAAAGUGGACGUAUACGGUGUGACGCCUGCCCGGUGCCGGAAGGUUAAUUGAUGGGGUUAGCGCAAGCGAAGCUCUUGAUCGAAGCCCCGGUAAACGGCGGCCGUAACUAUAACGGUCCUAAGGUAGCGAAAUUCCUUGUCGGGUAAGUUCCGACCUGCACGAAUGGCGUAAUGAUGGCCAGGCUGUCUCCACCCGAGACUCAGUGAAAUUGAACUCGCUGUGAAGAUGCAGUGUACCCGCGGCAAGACGGAAAGACCCCGUGAACCUUUACUAUAGCUUGACACUGAACAUUGAGCCUUGAUGUGUAGGAUAGGUGGGAGGCUUAGAAGUGUGGACGCCAGUCUGCAUGGAGCCGACCUUGAAAUACCACCCUUUAAUGUUUGAUGUUCUAACGUUGACCCGUAAUCCGGGUUGCGGACAGUGUCUGGUGGGUAGUUUGACUGGGGCGGUCUCCUCCUAAAGAGUAACGGAGGAGCACGAAGGUUGGCUAAUCCUGGUCGGACAUCAGGAGGUUAGUGCAAUGGCAUAAGCCAGCUUGACUGCGAGCGUGACGGCGCGAGCAGGUGCGAAAGCAGGUCAUAGUGAUCCGGUGGUUCUGAAUGGAAGGGCCAUCGCUCAACGGAUAAAAGGUACUCCGGGGAUAACAGGCUGAUACCGCCCAAGAGUUCAUAUCGACGGCGGUGUUUGGCACCUCGAUGUCGGCUCAUCACAUCCUGGGGCUGAAGUAGGUCCCAAGGGUAUGGCUGUUCGCCAUUUAAAGUGGUACGCGAGCUGGGUUUAGAACGUCGUGAGACAGUUCGGUCCCUAUCUGCCGUGGGCGCUGGAGAACUGAGGGGGGCUGCUCCUAGUACGAGAGGACCGGAGUGGACGCAUCACUGGUGUUCGGGUUGUCAUGCCAAUGGCACUGCCCGGUAGCUAAAUGCGGAAGAGAUAAGUGCUGAAAGCAUCUAAGCACGAAACUUGCCCCGAGAUGAGUUCUCCCUGACUCCUUGAGAGUCCUGAAGGAACGUUGAAGACGACGACGUUGAUAGGCCGGGUGUGUAAGCGCAGCGAUGCGUUGAGCUAACCGGUACUAAUGAACCGUGAGGCUUAACCU
rnacentral:rRNA from 1 species